rnacentral:rRNA from 1 species
GUUGCUGACUUUCGCUUUCGGAUUCGUGUCCAGCGGGAUAAGCGUGCCAAAGUCGCUAGAACGAAGUGGUGGAAGCUCAAGGGGGAGGUAGCUCAGGUGUUCAAGGAAAGGGUAAUUAAGGAGGGCCCUUGGGAGGAAGGAGGGGAUGCGGACAAUGUGUGGAUGAAGAUGGCGACUUGCAUUCGUAAGGUGGCCUCGGAGGAGUUUGGAGUGUCCAGGGGAAGGAGAAGCGAAGAUAAGGAUACCUGGUGGUGGAAUGAUGAUGUCCAGAAGGCGAUUAAAGAGAAGAAAGAUUGCUUCAGACGCCUAUACCUGGAUAGGAGUGCAGACAACAUAGAGAAGUACAAGAUGGCGAAGAAGGCCGCAAAGUGA